rnacentral:rRNA from 1 species
UACGAAGGGGGCUAGCGUUAAUCGGAAUUACUGGGCGUAAAGCGUGCGCAGGCGGUUCGCUAAGACAGAUGUGAAAUCCCCGGGCUUAACCUGGGAACUGCAUUUGUGACUGGCGGGCUAGAGUAUGGCAGAGGGGGGUAGAAUUCCACGUGUAGCAGUGAAAUGCGUAGAGAUGUGGAGGAAUACCGAUGGCGAAGGCAGCCCCCUGGGCCAAUACUGACGCUCAUGCACGAAAGCGUGGGGAGCAAACAGG